GCUGGAAUCAAAAAAGACGGACAAUUAUUUGUUAGUGGUGACUAUCAUGUUUGCAUGCACUAGGCUGAUGUUAAUUUUUUUUCUUUUUCUUUUUCUUUUUUUGAAUGGAAGAGUACUGGGAUUGAACCACCCAUGGACACUGUACUCCUCAGCUACAUCCCCUGCCCUUUGUUCAUUUGGAGACAAGGUCUCACAAAGUUGCUGAAGCUAGUCUUGAACUUGCAAUCAGUCCUCCGGCCUCAGUUUCCAAAGGAGCUGGGAUUACAGAAACAAAGGAUGGAGUCAUACUCUCUUCUGGGAAGGCCUGCUCAGCUAACAUCAACUCCGUAAUCAGAUACCACGUGGCCUCUCCUCCAUGCUGUCUCCCAGAACAGUUGCUCAGCAAAUGACAAGUCAGCUGUACCUUCUGCCCUUGGAUUUUUCAUGUGGAUUAGAGAAAUUUCCCUUCUUUUAGAGUGACCGUGAAAGGUGAAAAUCAGGCCACCAAGAGCAGCAGAUGAGCAGGACAACCUCGGGGAACACCAAGAACCAUUGGGACUGGGCUCAGUGCAUGCCAGUGGGCACAGGAGGGCUUCUGCUGAGUCUCUCCUGCAGCUCCCAUGCUCACCUGAGAAUCUGAAUCUCCACUCCCACCCACUACUGUCCAAAUCGUCACCUUCAAGGUAAUCAGGACUUUCAAAGGACCACAAAGUCAAAACUAUUUUCAUCAUAUUUAAGCAUGUUUUUCACUUUCAGUCUUGAGUGUCAAGUGGAAAUUUCCAGAGGUUACCUGACAUGUGGUGACCUCAUCAUUCUGAGGACCAAUGAAAUGUGUGCUCCUGUGUUAUGAAAAUUUCACUGUGUUGAUUUUAUAAUACAGUAAAUAUUGAAAUUGCAACCUACAUAAAAGCAAAAACUUGGGAAUCCUCAAUCACUUUUAAGAGUGUAAAGAAGUCUUACACCCAAAAUUGUGUGAACCCCUGAGUUUUCUGUAUGUCCACAGUGACUGGCAUCCCCUAAGAAGGAGAAAUCAUGUGUGUAGUUAUAAUUGCUCUCCUGUUCAAAACUUUCACUGACUUAGGAGUAGUGAGGCGGUGCUGAAUAUAUGAUCAUUUUGGAAACAAACUGAUGUACAAAUUCUAGUUUGACUGCUUACUGGUUAUGUGACCUAGGCAAGUUACUUAAACUUUCUGAAUACAGGGACCUGUCAUGGCUUCAAACAGUAUUUAAUUCCUCCCCAUUCUCCAACUAUCACUCAGGUAUUCCCAACCAAAAGAAACACCCAAAUAAGAAAAUUAUCAGUUUUACUAAUAGUUAGGCAAAUGUCUAAAAUUCCAACUUCAUAAGAUGUGGAUAGAUAAAUGAGGCCAAGAGUUCAAGCAAGGCUUCCUUCUCUCUGUUCUAUGACAUCUUGAAUGAUCCACUUUCUGAGCAGCCUCCUAGUCUAUUUACAAGCUGCCUGGACAGCACUCCCAAGCCAGCCCUCCCACACAGUCACAGAGGACACACACAGGAAUGCACAAUGAAGAGAAGGUACAGAGAGCAGCAGAAAGCACUUCAGAGUCCUUCAAUUCUGUUGCCUAGAGGAAGAAGAACAUUCACACACCAACCAUAAGAUUAGCUAUUUUCCAACAGGGUGAGUAAUCAAUUAGAGGCAAAAACACCAGCAUUACAAUGGAAGGAUCUUCCAGUUUCACUAAAACCCCUAAUACCUACAGCACCUGUUAUAUGUCAGUCACUCAAGAAGUGAUAAUGCAGAGUACUAUAUGGUGGAAUUAAUGGAAAAGGAACCUUAAAAAAAUAAAAGACCCCAAACUUUCAUAACCUCAGUCUUGUUUAUGGGAGCAUAAAGGACACUGGAAGGUAUGAAGUCCACCUUCCCAAGAGAAGGCAAACAUCUGUAGCACUUUGUGUACUUGAAGUGUUGAAGCCUCAUUCCUACUAAUUCCUGUUAUUUGCACGGUUUUAGGAUUAUAACUGAAGAAAUGGGAAAACCUCCAAGAUGGACAGACUUCAUUCAAAUACCUAUGCAUUCUGGUCCUACCAGUUAGGGAAGAAUGAAGAAAAGAAUUAAGGACAGACCCAGGCUAUAACUCAGUUAAUUGUCUCCCAGCUAACGCUGAAGCAACCUGGGUGGAGUUCCAGGCCUUCCUCUAUCCAGCUAAAACAAUAAAGUCAAAAUAGGUCAUGCAGCUCCCAAGAAGGUCUCACUUUGAACUCCAGGAACUUAGGUUGCAAAACUGAUAGCAUUUAUAGAAGAGGACUUUUGACAAGGCUCAACAAGGCCUCCCAGGAAAGCUCGGAACAUCUGCAGCACUGGCUCUUUCCCCAACCCAAAUCUCCAGGUUAUUAGCCUUCUCAGUCAGCUGAGAAGUGCCCUAAUUCACUCAGCAUGUGGCCCUGUCCUCAGUAGAAAGUCCUUUAAUACCCGCAAGACUGAGAGAGGAAUAGAAAUGAUAAAGUAAACGGUGUCAGAAAUUUUAAGUUAUUUAGAGAAUUCCGCAUAUCAAAGCAUCUGACAGAUUGAUUUAUCUGACAAUUCCAAUUUAAAAUAUGUGAUUGAAUAUAAUAGAUUUUUAGACAUGAUUUUAACUUAAAUGAUUUACUUUUCUUGUACCUACUACUAGAAUAUAUAAAAGAAAUUGAGGCUUACAAUAUUUGAAAUUUAAUUUAUUAAAUUAACCAGAGCAUUUUAAAUAAUUAGAGAUAAAUGACUUGUUCAAAGCACUUAGUUCUUAAGAAAGGCAAAUCAAUUAAAGUUUAAAAUAUAUAAAGGGCUAUAAUUAAUCAAGUUAAUUAGUAAACUCUUCUAAUGUUAUUGGUAACAUUUACUAGAUUUAUGAAUAGAAUAGUAAUUAUGAGCUGAAUGUAGUAGGUCAAUUAAAAAUUUUUUUAGUUCAUAAUUUUAAUACAUCAAAUUUUAAUUUAAAGAAAAAAAAGCAACUGCAAAUAUUCUUCUUUGCAAAUGACAUCAGCCCCCAACACCACCAAACUCACAUGACAUUUUUGACCCUGGGUUUCUUUUGAUUCUGGAAUCUCAGCAUUUGGUCUUCUGCAGAACAAAGCCCUAAUCCAUAAGAAGCCAGCUUUUUAGGAAGAAAAAUUAUUAACAUGUCAAAUGUGAAUCUAUUUCCUUACUAUAUUUAAUCUCCAGGAAUAGACUAAUAAAAUAAUAAAAAGCCUCAAUUCAAAUUAGCAACUGGUACUUCAUUCCAUUAUCCAAAACCAUUACUACAUAAUUUAUUGGCUGGCAGUAAGGAAACUCCUUCUCUGUUUGCCAUUCAGGUAAAUCAAGUUCUGGUUGUCUGUAUCUCUAUCCAUAUUGAUCAAAACUACACAGAGGCUCUCUCACUCCCUGUUGCUCUCUGUAUUACUUUAGAAUAACUGAGACAACUGGUUACAGAAUUAUCUACAAAUAUUUACAAUUUGGGUUCCAUAUAAGAUGGAAGAGAGAGAUUGAAAAGAAAGAUAUAGAAUGUAGUAGAAAUGGUAAUAUCCUUUAGUGAGGGGUCAAGAUAUAUAAUUUGAACAUUUCUGAAACUGAAGAAUUAGAAAUAGUCUGUCUAGUGUAUUAUUUAAACUUAUACGCAUAAUCAAUAAAAGAACUGAAAUUAUAAAUUAUACACACAUGUACAAAUCUGCACUUCUGUAUAUAUCUAAAAACACUACUAGGAAGAAGAUAAAAGGAGAGAUCAGUGUGUAAAUAACCUUAUAUUCAUGCUAAAGAGAAAAUAUACAUUAUAUGUUGUAGAUAUAAUAAAUUUACUCAAUAUAUUAUAAAUCAAAAAAAUACUAUCAAAUACAUUACCUGAAUGGUACUGCCCAAUAUAGUAACUACAAACCAAAUGAGGCUAUUAAGCACUUAAAAUGUGUUUAAUCAAAUUGACAUGAGCCACAAGUUUAAAUAGAUUUGAAAAUAAUAGAAAAAUGUAAAAUAUUUCAGUAAUAAUAUCUAUAUGGAUUAUGUGCUGAA